rnacentral:lncRNA from 1 species
UUCCUUUCAAGGAUUUUCCUCAAAAUUCUUGAUCUCAGUGAGAGCACUGAUAAUCUGUGAGUUAUCUGGGCUCUCAAAAUGCAGAAAAGAAUCAAAAAAGAUUUAGAAGAAAACACUGGCCCAUUUUCCUGAGAAAUCAGCCAGCCUGAUUUGUUCACUGGUUAAAGAGUAACAGCAACCGCACUAAACCCCAGAAUGGUCAGUGCAAUUAAUGCAAUUAAAGUAAUUAGUCCUGGCAGCUGUAAGGUCAAAUAGAGGUAACUUUGUAACAACAAUCUGCCACUGCAAAAUUACUGACAUUUCCAACUAAAUUAUAUUCUCUAAAUUGUUGCCUUAAUGCUAAAUAAAUAAAGUUAUGCUAAUGUAGGGACUGAUUACAGAUUGAAAUUAGCACAAUUGCUUGUUAUACAGUCUGCUAGGGUUAACGUUUUUUAAAAACAUAAUUAAUGGCCUUUGCUUACUGUCUCUGGUUAUAGAUCCUGCAGCUCAUUUGCAUUCUUUUGCAAUAUGCUGACAGUGCUAAAUGUCUCAGAAGAAAGAUCUCAUCUGGAGGCGGAAAAUGCGUUUUGCACGUCAUCCAGCUAACACUUGUUAUGGUUCCAGGCCAGCGUUAAUAACAAAGAUGACCAGAAAGAGAAUGGAUCAGAAUGAAGCUGGAAUCCGUUUUUGCCCUUCAGUCUCGUGAUCCAAGCCUUUUCUGGAGUCAAUGUGAAAUGUAAUUGCUCUUUUGACCUCUAUCUUCUCUCUCCCCAGGUCUGAGGAAGAGCUACACUGGUUGAUUAUUGCAGGAAUGAAAGGCACUCUGACCUUGUCGACCGAACGCCUUGCAGCUUUCAAUGUUGCCCAUUAUACCGCAAGCAGGCAACUCCUGGAGAGCUGCUCCCUGGGCAACCUGCCAGAAAAGGCUCCGGCGGCAGCAGUUCAGACGCGGCCAAACAGCUCAGGCAGCAAAGGAAACAGCUUCCCCAGAGGAAUCCUGCCCAGCAGCCUGAGAGCAGGACCAGCGCCAUUCUUCAGCUUCAACCUCAUGUGCCUGCCUGGAGGUGUCUUUAAAAGAAUGGAGAAAGGCUUCUGGAAAAGGUAUUUCAUUUUCUAGAGGCUGAAAAAAAAGUGGGUCAGAGGUUUUUUCCAAAUUUAGGGCAAACCUAGUUCUUGGUUAAGUACUUUAAGAGACAUUGCUCUAUUUAUUUAUUUAUUUCAUUUUUUAUUUUAUUUUUAUUUUUAUGGAUGCACCCACAGCCUAUGGACGUUUCUGGGCUAGGGGUUGAAUUGGAAAUGCAGCUGCAGGCCUACACCACAGCUGUGGCAACACUGGAUCUGAGCCACAUCUGUGACCUUCAUGGCUACUUGUGGCAACGCUGGAUCCUUAACUCAAUUCGCAAGGCCAGAGAUCAAACCCACAUUCUCACAGAGACAAUGUCAGGUCCUUAACCCACUGAGCCACAAUGGGAACUCCACAUUAAUCAAAUAAGCAAACCACAUUGCCACAUAAUCCAGUUCCUCUGAGAGAACUGUCUCCCUAAGUUUGGAUCAUUGCCCAGUGUCAUCAGGCAUUCUUCAAUCA